GACGAACGCUGGCGGCGUGCUUAACACAUGCAAGUCGAACGGUAAGGCCCUUCGGGGUACACGAGUGGCGAACGGGUGAGUAACACGUGGGUGAUCUGCCCUGCACUUCGGGAUAAGCCUGGGAAACUGGGUCUAAUACCGGAUAGGACUCCGGAAUGCAUGGUCUGGGGUGGAAAGCUUUUGCGGGGUGGGAUGGGCCCGCGGCCUAUCAGCUUGUUGGUGGGGUGGUGGCCUACCAAGGCGACGACGGGUAGCCGGCCUGAGAGGGUGACCGGCCACACUGGGACUGAGAUACGGCCCAGACUCCUACGGGAGGCAGCAGUGGGGAAUAUUGCACAAUGGGCGCAAGCCUGAUGCAGCGACGCCGCGUGAGGGAUGACGGCCUUCGGGUUGUAAACCUCUUUCAGCACAGACGAAGCGCAAGUGACGGUAUGUGCAGAAGAAGGACCGGCCAACUACGUGCCAGCAGCCGCCGUAA
rnacentral:rRNA from 1 species